rnacentral:tmRNA from 1 species
GGGGCCGAUUUGGUUUCGACGGUGACCUGUUCGCUUCGGAGAAGCGUGCCGAGAAUGCAGAGUCCGCUCGUGAUGUGCUCUGUAAUAAAAAUAAGUGCUAAAUCCAAUCGCACUGAGUUCGCUCUCGCUGCCUGAUUUCAUCAGGAUCUAACCAGUGAGCAGCCGCUCCGUUCACUCUCCCGUGUCUUCGGGGAGAUGCUGAGCGUCGUUUGAAGACUUACCCGCACCGCUGCACUGCAGGGCAGUGCGGGGACAUCGCACUGCGGCUAGGCUCGCCACCAGUAGUCUGCGACAUCGGUGGGAGCCGAUAAAUCGCCUUAUGGCCAGCAGACUACGCACGUAGAAGGACGAGGGUGCGGUCACCGGACCGGGGUUCGAUCCCCCGCGGCUCCACGA